GUCAGUCUCUGGCCUUGCAAGAGCACACAUUUGAAGGUAGACUCAGACUCAAAAAGAACAUGAACUGAUCCAGACAAUGAUGUCUUUGAUCUGAAAACCAGCAGCCACUUCCAGUUGGAGACUGCUGUGCUGGAAGCCCUGCAAUGGGCAGUGCAAGGUCCAACAGCAGCUGACCACCAGCAACAUCCCCUGGAGCAGGUAACGUGCAGAGGUUUGCAGUGCCAAGGAAUCACAGAGUAUCUCAGGUGGAAUGGACCCCUGAGUUCUCAUGAUACAUAACAACCUAAUGAAAAAUACUCUGAAAAAUUAAAGCAAAAUUAAAGCAAAUUCCCUCUGCAGUGAA